CAGAUGAAGUGCUUGCACUUCUGACGUUAGCGGCGAACGGGUGAGUAACACGUAAGGAAUCUACCUAUAAGCGGGGGAUAACAUUCGGAAACGGGUGCUAAUACCGCAUAAUAUCUUCUUCCGCAUGGAAGAAGAUUGAAAGACGGCUCUGCUGUCACUUAUAGAUGACCUUGCGGUGCAUUAGUUAGUUGGUGGGGUAACGGCCUACCAAGACGAUGAUGCAUAGCCGACCUGAGAGGGUGAUCGGCCACAUUGGGACUGAGACACGGCCCAAACUCCUACGGGAGGCAGCAGUAGGGAAUCUUCCGCAAUGGGCGAAAGCCUGACGGAGCAAUGCCGCGUGAGUGAAGAAGGCCUUCGGGUCGUAAAACUCUGUUAUAAGAGAAGAACAAAUUGUAGAGUAACUGCUACAGUCUUGACGGUAUCUUAUCAGAAAGCCACGGCUAACUACGUGCCAGCAGCCGCGGUAAUACGUAGGUGGCAAGCGUUGUCCGGAUUUAUUGGGCGUAAAGGGAGCGCAGGUGGUUUCUUAAGUCUGAUGUGAAAGCCCACGGCUUAACCGUGGAGGGUCAUUGGAAACUGGGAAACUUGAGUACAGAAGAGGAAUGUGGAACUCCAUGUGUAGCGGUGGAAUGCGUAGAUAUAUGGAAGAACACCAGUGGCGAAGGCGACAUUCUGGUCUGUUACUGACACUGAGGCUCGAAAGCGUGGGGAGCAAACAGGAUUAGAUACCCUGGUAGUCCACGCCGUAAACGAUGAGUGCUAGGUGUUGGAGGGUUUCCGCCCUUCAGUGCCGCAGUUAACGCAUUAAGCACUCCGCCUGGGGAGUACGACCGCAAGGUUGANACUCAAAGGAAUUGANGGGAACCCG
rnacentral:rRNA from 1 species